rnacentral:piRNA from 1 species
UGAAAGAUUGAAAACCCAUUU